rnacentral:lncRNA from 1 species
AACAUUGUGUGUGUUAUAUGCGGCGAUGUCGGGAAGAAAGAUGUCUUGCAGCGUUGUGUAGAAUGGAAUAUACGGUUUAUAUUGUAUGGAUGGAUUUUAAAAAAAAUUAUUUAUGUUUUUCAAUCUUUGAUUAUACUUUCGAUAGUUGUAAGUUUGGUUUCUACGAAGAAGAAGUUGAGUUUAAUGACGGUGAUAAUGUAAUAAAAAAAAAUACCAAAGUAACUCAUGUAUGUAUUUUGUGAUUUGUAUGAAUAUAU